AGAGUUUGAUCCUGGCUCAGGAUGAACGCUAGCGGCAGGCCUAACACAUGCAAGUCGAGGGGCAGCACGGUGUAGCAAUACACUGGUGGCGACCGGCGCACGGGUGCGUAACGCGUAUGCAACCUACCCAUAACAGGGGGAUAACACUGAGAAAUUGGUAUUAAUACCCCAUAACAUCAGGACCGGCAUCGGUUCUGGUUGAAAACUCCGGUGGUUAUGGAUGGGCAUGCGUUGUAUUAGCUGGUUGGUGAGGUAACGGCUCACCAAGGCAACGAUACAUAGGGGGACUGAGAGGUUAACCCCCCACAUUGGUACUGAGACACGGACCAAACUCCUACGGGAGGCAGCAGUGAGGAAUAUUGGUCAAUGGACGCAAGUCUGAACCAGCCAUGCCGCGUGCAGGAAGACGGCUCUAUGAGUUGUAAACUGCUUUUGUACGAGAGUAAACGCUCUUACGUGUAAGAGCCUGAAAGUAUCGUACGAAUAAGGAUCGGCUAACUCCGUGCCAGCAGCCGCGGUAAUACGGAGGAUCCAAGCGUUAUCCGGAUUUAUUGGGUUUAAAGGGAGCGUAGGCGGGCUUUUAAGUCAGCGGUCAAAUGUCGUGGCUCAACCAUGUCAAGCCGUUGAAACUGUAAGCCUUGAGUCUGCACAGGGCACAUGGAAUUCGUGGUGUAGCGGUGAAAUGCUUAGAUAUCACGAAGAACUCCGAUCGCGAAGGCAUUGUGCCGGGGCAUAACUGACGCUGAGGCUCGAAAGUGCGGGUAGCAAACAGGAUUAGAUACCCUGGUAGUCCACACCGUAAACGAUGAUUACUAGGUGGUGGAGGAUUGACCCCUUCUAGUGCCGCAGUUAACUCGAUAAGUAAUCCACUUGGGGAGUGGGCGCGCAAGGGUGAAACUCAAAGGAAUUGAGCGGGGGCCCGCGCUAGCAGCGGAGUGUGUGGUUUAAUUUGAAGCGAUGUGACGAGCCUUAUCACGUGUUGACAUCCAUAUGAGUGACUCUUCACCGGGUCUUUCUUUUGGGGCUGAGGACACAGGUGGGGCAUGGUGGUGGUCAGCUGGGGUCGAGAGAGGGGGGGAGAAGUCACGCAGCGAGCGCCAUCUCUAUCCUCAGUAGCCGGCACUUAAGGGGGGCAGUCUGGGGAGGUUUCCAGGGAGGAAAGGGGGGCAGGCAGGGGAAGAGCGUCAAAUCAUCAUGCGCUCUAUGAUUUGGCACACCCGCGUGCUCCAAUGGCGUAUACAAAGGGAAAGGGAGAUCGGGAGAGGGAGCAAAUCCCAAAAAUAACCUCGCAGCUCGGACGGCAGUGAGCAACCCGAGUACACGAAGCGGGAAUCGAUAGUAAUCGAGGAUCAG
rnacentral:rRNA from 1 species